rnacentral:rRNA from 1 species
GACGAACGCUGGCGGCAUGCUUAACACAUGCAAGUGGAGCGACGAACCUUUUUGGGGCAAAGCCGCGAACGGGUGAGUAACACGUGGGCAAUCUGCCCCGAUGACUGGAAUAACUCGAGGAAACUCGUGCUAAUACCGGAUGUGCCAUUCCCUCACAAGAGGGCCUGGUAAAGGGAGCUUCGUCUAUCCGCCUCGGGAGGAGCCUGCGGCGAAUUAUCUAGUUGGUGGGGUAAAGGCCUACCAAGGCGACGAUGCGUAGCUGGUCUGGGAGGACGAUCAGCCACACUGGAACUGAGACACGGUCCAGACUCCUACGGGAGGCAGCAGUGGGGAAUCUUGCACAAUGGGCGACAGCCUGAUGCAGCAAUGCCGCGUGAGGGAAGACGGCCUUCGGGUUGUAAACCUCUUUCAGUUGGGAAGAAGGUCGGACGGUGAAUAGCCGCGUCGACUGACGGUACCUUCAGAAGAAGCCCCGGCUAACUACGUGCCAGCCGCCGCCGUAA